rnacentral:rRNA from 1 species
AAUGCUAAAAGAAUGGAAAUUUAAAAAAAAACUUUUUUAAAAAUAAAAAUUGAAUUUUUUUUAAUUUGUGCAAAAACAAUUAUAUUUAUUAAAGACAAGAAGACCCUAAGAAUUUAAGAUUUUACAAUUAAAAAGUUUUUUUUUUAAAAUCUUGAUUGGGGCGAUCAAAAAAUAUUAAUAACUUUUUAAAAUUUAAAUUGAUCUAUUAUUAAUAAACUAAUGAAUUAAAUACUCUAGGGAUAACAGCGU